AUGAACGCUGGCGGCGUGCCUAAUACAUGCAAGUCGAGCGAACAGACGAGGAGCUUGCUCCUUUGACGUUAGCGGCGGACGGGUGAGUAACACGUGGAUAACCUACCUAUAAGACUGGGAUAACUUCGGGAAACCGGAGCUAAUACCGGAUAACAUGUUGAACCGCAUGGUUCAACAGUGAAAGACGGUCUUGCUGUCACUUAUAGAUGGAUCCGCGCCGCAUUAGCUAGUUGGUAAGGUAACGGCUUACCAAGGCAACGAUGCGUAGCCGACCUGAGAGGGUGAGCGGCCACACUGGAACUGAGACACGGUCCAGACUCCUACGGGAGGCAGCAGUAGGGAAUCUUCCGCAAUGGGCGAAAGCCUGACGGAGCAACGCCGCGUGAGUGAAGAAGGUCUUCGGAUCGUAAAACUCUGUUAUUAGGGAAGAACAAAUGUGUAAGUAACUAUGCACGUCUUGACGGUACCUAAUCAGAAAGCCACGGCUAACUACGUG
rnacentral:rRNA from 1 species